GACGAACGCUGGCGGCGUGCUUAACACAUGCAAGUCGAACGGAAAGGCCCUGCUUUUGUGGGGUGCUCGAGUGGCGAACGGGUGAGUAACACGUGAGUAACCUGCCCUUGACUUUGGGAUAACUUCAGGAAACUGGGGCUAAUACCUGAUAGGAGCUCCUGCUGCAUGGUGGGGGUUGGAACGUUUCGGCGGUUGGGGAUGGACUGGCGGCUUAUCAGCUUGUUGGUGGGGUAGUGGCUUACCAAGGCUUUGACGGGUAGCCGGCCUGAGAGGGGGACCGGGCACAUUGGGACUGAGAGACGGCCCAGACUCCUACGGGAGGCAGCAGUGGGGAAUAUUGCACAAUGGGCGGAAGCCUGAUGCAGAAACGCCGCGUGCGGGAUGACGGCCUUCGGGUUGUAAACCGCUUUCGCCUGUGACGAAGCGUGAGUGACGGUAAUGGGUAAAGAAGCACCGGCUAACUACGUG
rnacentral:rRNA from 1 species